rnacentral:rRNA from 1 species
GAUGAACGCUGGCGGCGUGCCUAACACAUGCAAGUCGAGCGAUCUUCUUCGGAAGAGAGCGGCGGACGGGUGAGUAACGCGUGGGUAACCUGCCCUGUACACACGGAUAACAUACCGAAAGGUAUGCUAAUACGGGAUAAUAUAUGAGAGUCACGUGACUUUUAUAUCAAAGUUUUUGCGGUACAGGAUGGACCCGCGUCUGAUUAGCUAGUUGGUAAGGUAACGGCUUACCAAGGCGACGAUCAGUAGCCGACCUGAGAGGGUGAUCGGCCACACUGGAACUGAGACACGGUCCAGACUCCUACGGGAGGCAGCAGUGGGGAAUAUUGCACAAUGGGCGAAAGCCUGAUGCAGCAACGCCGCGUGAGCGAUGAAGGCCUUCGGGUCGUAAAGCUCUGUCCUCAAGGAAGAUAAUGACGGUACUUGAGGAGGAAGCCCCGGCUAACUACGUGCCAGCAGCCGCCGUAA